UACGGAGGGUGCAAGCGUUAAUCGGAAUUACUGGGCGUAAAGCGUGCGCAGGCGGUUUGUUAAGUCUGCUGUGAAAUCCCCGAGCUCAACUUGGGAAUUGCAGUGGAUACUGGCAGGCUGGAGUAUGGUAGAGGAAGGUGGAAUUCCCGGUGUAGCAGUGAAAUGCGUAGAGAUCGGGAGGAACACCAGUGGCGAAGGCGGCCUGCUGGGCUGUUGCUGACGCUGAGGCGCGACAGCGUGGGGAGCAAACAGG
rnacentral:rRNA from 1 species